GAUGAAGCACGUAGCGAAAUGCGAUACGUAAUGUGAAUUGCAGAAUUCAGUGAAUCAUCGAGUCUUUGAACGCACAUUGCGCCCCCUGGUAUUCCGGGGGGCAUGCCUGUCCGAGCGUCAUUGCUGCCCUCAAGCACGGCUUGUGUGUUGGGCCUCCGUCCUCCUCCCGGGGGACGGGCCCGAAAGGCAGCGGCGGCACCGCGUCCGGUCCUCGAGCGUAUGGGGCUUCGUCACCCGCUCUUGUAGGCCCGGCCGGCGCUUGCCGACACAUCAAUCUUUUUUCCAGGUUGACCUCGGAUCAGGUAGGGAUACCCGCUGAACUUAAGCAUAUCAAUAAGCGGAGGA
rnacentral:misc_RNA from 1 species